CUUUAAAAAUGGGAAGCGUUUAUAAAAGCAUAGCACGUGCGUUACGUGAGGUCUGUGGCUUGGUUUUGCAGGGUUUAGGGUUUAUAACAAAAAUUCUGACGAGGAGAGACAUGGAUAUUGCGCUCUUCUCCCCUUCUUCGCUUUUUGCAGACGAUGAGGGCUGCGAUUCUGAUGGCGAAAAGAUGGGGACCCAGCAGAGCUACGUCGAAAGAAAGCACGAUUUUCCUGGAACGGAAUUGCUGAUCCGAGAAUUUUCUUUUCACCAGCUAAAUGCUAAUUUACUCUGGCCAGGGACAUUUGCAUUUGCAGAAUGGUUAGUUCAGCAUCGGUCCUGGAUAGAAGGACGGCGCAGCUUUGAAUUGGGCAGUGGCACUGGAGCUUUAGCCAUUUUUCUAAGAAAAUCAUUUCAACUUGACAUCACAACUUCAGACUAUAAUGACCAGGAAAUUGAAGAGAAUAUAGCUUAUAACUGCCGGGUGAAUGGAAUUACACCUAUCCUUCCUCAUAUAAAGCAUUCAUGGGGAGACAACUUUCCAAUUGCUGACCCAGAUUGGGACCUGAUUAUUGCAAGUGAUAUCUUAUUGUAUGUGAAACAGUACCCAAACUUGAUAAAGACUCUUUCCUUUCUCCUCAAAUUUUACAAACCAAAAGAUGACUCAGCAAUUUCAAUCAUGGAGAAUGAACACAAAAAUGAAACAUAUGAGGGGCUGCCCCAGCCAGCAUUUUUAAUGAGUUGGAGACGCAGAAUUGGAAAGGAGGAUGAGUCACUCUUCUUUACUGGUUGCAAGAAUGCUGGUCUUGAAGUAAAGCACAUGGGUUCCCGUGUUUUUUGCAUCACACCUAGAGAAGCAACUGCAAGAACAGCAAUGGAAGAAUUAACCAGUGAUGCCAGCACUUAGCUGUAACACUCAUGACCCUCUUGACUUGUCUGACUUGUUUGAAGUCUGAAUCACCCUUAAGCAAGUGGAUACCUCACAGUUGAAGCCAGUACCCAGUUAAGAAACUCAUACCAACUUGAGUGGAGUCUGAAUCUUCCCUGCAGUUCAUUAACUUUAUGGAUUAAUAGUCUCUGCUGCAUAGUGUCUGAUCAAAAGGUGUAAGCUCCAUGAGGACCAACUGUAACCACUGGGGCCUGUGAUUGCUGGAAUAAUUUGGGGAUCUGCAUUAGUCAGGUUGUAAGUUCUGUUUGGCACUUCAUGCAGGUCACGGAAUCUCUGACGAUGUCCCCCUCUCAAAGGUUUGAAUCAUCAAGGGGUCGUAAGGGGUCGUGGGGGAACCCUAGGCUCCUGAAAUAGCUCUCAAUAUCUUGGGUCAUGUUCAGCUUUCACCUUUGCUUCUCUGGUUCUCAUGCUUUCUUCCCUUCCUUUUUCUUCUUUAAUGUUAUGAAUUGACAAGAUCAUCACUCAUAUCCAAUAGGAUGUGGGGCAAAGCCAAUCUCUGCUGCAAGAGGACAGAGGACCUACCCGCUUUUGCAUUCCAUACAGAAAUUAUUGCAGUCCUCUAUCAACAUUAUUGCAUUCCUUUUGUUUACUAUCGAGGAUAUUGUCAGUUGGGUUGUUUUUACUUAUCAGUCCAUCCAAAUUCCAAAGGCCAAUAAACCAACCACAUCUCCAUGGUUUCUGCAUCAGUUAUUGGUAAUGAACUUCUAUCCGGAUUUGCAGGGCUA